rnacentral:tRNA from 1 species
GGUGAGUUGAGCGGAAUGGCAUCGCACCCGUCUGGAAGACGGUCUCGCCCUCUGUCCUGAGGGCGUCCCGGUUCGAAUCCGGGACUCACCUCCA